rnacentral:rRNA from 1 species
CCUACGGGGGGCAGCAGUGGGGAAUAUGGCACAAUGGGCGCAAGCCUGAUGCAGCCAUGCCGCGUGUGUGAAGAAGGCCUUCGGGUUGUAAAGCACUUUCAGCGGGGAGGAAGGCGUUAAGGUUAAUAACCUUGGCGAUUGACGUUACCCGCAGAAGAAGCACCGGCUAACUCCGUGCCAGCAGCCGCGGUAAUACGGAGGGUGCAAGCGUUAAUCGGAAUUACUGGGCGUAAAGCGCACGCAGGCGGUCUGUCAAGUCGGAUGUGAAAUCCCCGGGCUCAACCGGGGGACUGCAUUCGAAACUGGCAGGCUAGAGUCGUGUAGAGGGGGGUAGAAUUCCAGGUGUAGCGGUGAAAUGCGUAGAGAUCUGGAGGAAUACCGGUGGCGAAGGCGGCCCCCUGGACAAAGACUGACGCUCAGGUGCGAAAGCGUGGGGAGCAAACAGGAUUAGAUACCCGGGUAGUC